AACUCUUGCGCUAGAUUGCAGGACGAUCUAAACCUUCUCCUCAAUCGCUCAUUUAAACCUUUUCCUCCUUACCUCUUUUCCUCAAUCGCAGAUUUCAACCUUCUCCUCCUUACCUCUUAUCCUCAAUCGCAGAUUUCAACCUUCUCCUCCUUAUCUCUUCUCCUCAAUCGCAGAUUUCAACCUUCUCCUCUCCAGUUCUUUUCCUCGAAGGAUACGCCUUCUCCUCCCUUGCUCUUCUCCUCGAUCGACGGCGCCUUCUCCUCCUUGAUCGACGACAUAAUGGGAGAUAUAAAAGAACGAAGCUCUCUGAUUCAAAAUAUAUAAUUAGGGCAUUAGCCUUCACUUCGAAUUGGGGAAAGUAUCUUCUUAGCUUCUAGAUCUAUCAAGCAUUCAGGCAGGCUAUCUACGAUAGAGAAUCCAGAAAACAAUGGACUCAGCAUGAAGUUGAAGGAGGCGUAGGUAGGUGAUGAUGUUUCCAACCAGAAUGUGCAUUCCCCCGCAACUUGCUUCGUAUGAACAGCACAUCACCAACUCCAGACUCUCAACAUAGGAAACCUGUGCGUAAUACAGUCCCAUUCUCUUCACGAACUACUAUGGGGGUAACAGGUAGCCCAUCACGUUUUGCAUGCACUGUGCAACAAGGACUCCCUUCAAAUCCACCCACAGUUUCCACAUCAGGGACAAAUUAUGUUGCCUCCCCUCCCUCUCCAGCUGCAUCAGGCGGUACACCAGCAUUUAGAGAUGCCCAGCUCCCUAGUCCGUGGAAUUAGGACUUAGGAGGGAUGCAUCUAAGCUGCUACUUGUUUUGAAGAUUAUUGACACAUAAAUUGAUUCCAUCUCAUUUCUCCUGCUGCUGCAACAUCAAACUAUGCAUAUGGUAGUUAUUAAUUUACCUUCUCACUCUGUUUGGUAUUCUGAUUUUUUUUUUUUCAUUUUUUGGUAAAAUUGAAUUCAUAGUUCAGUUUUUGUGUUCCAGAUUCGACUCAAUGUGGAUCUGAUGUGAGUUUUAUCUUGCUGUAAAUGAUCCAUAAAGUAAUCAUCUUAUUUCUUUUGCCCCAUUUUGUUAGUAUUAUGGUUUAAUAGUACUAUUAUGGUUCAUCCUAUAGCAGCCUUAUAUGCAAAAGCAGAGUCGUUACCCUGAUGGGUUUACCCGUUUUUCCAUUCAAAGAUCCAAGCUAGAAUGAAACCAGAAUCCAAUUCAUCACCAAAUCAAGAGUUAGCAUCUAAUUCAUCACCAAAUCAUGGUAGUUCAAACAGUCAUCAUGAUAAUGGUUUGGCAUCAACACCUCAAAUGCAGCUACCAACCCCAUAGGUUAAUGAAAUUCUUGUUGCUGAUGGUACUGAUGCCCCUAAUGUUGACGAGGAAAAUGUUGUUUCUGAUCUAGACCUUCAUGUUUUAACACUGAUGAUGGAACAGGCUGCUUCCAUACUGCAAAUGUGUCCUGGGAACUUGUGUCUUUCCAGUUUAUACAUUUAGAAUUAAGAGACUAAUAGAAAUGCCAUAUUUUGAUUUGUUUUAAAUUUUCAACGGUAUAUUGAUGAAUGAAUUCUCUUCAAGCAUAUGAAAUGUGUAUUUUAUGUUUU